AAUCAUUAUUUCUAUGUAAAAAGCUUUAAUUGUGUAGUAAUGCAAGUGCAUUUUAUUGUUAUCUUUCUUACUUACGUCUUAAUCAUGUCAUCUAUAAUAAAAAGCCAGUGAUAGUUGUUGAAUGUCAUAAAUAAUAUUAGUCAUGUGAGCUAUGAGGUGGAUCACAGUCUAUGUCACGGUGCAGCUGAAGAGUCAGAACUCAGAGAUUUCCACUCGGAACAGAUCUUCAGUCGCGGAGUUUGUUUGUGGGUAGCACGUGUCCUUGGUCACAGCCCAGGUGUGAGGUUUCUGCUUUCCAUACCAACACGGAAAAGCUUUAACAAGAGCGUCAUGGAUUUUUUUUUUUUGUAUUUUAUUGCACUGCACUUGCAUAACCUUGUGAGGCCCACAUUAAGGUUACAGUUCUUUUCUUUGGCUGUCAUCCCAACCUUUUCAAAGAACUACCUGGCAUCUUAUUCAUUGCUGAUCAACAAAGGCCAGAGAGGAGCUUGCUUCUCCUGCAUUACCUCCUUUGCAACAGACACAUCAAGAUGGCACUUAAAUUGACGGCUGCACCCUGUACUAAUGCACCUCUUUUUAUGCAUGAGCUGAAAUGAGGCAGUGCAUAUAUAAUGGACUUCAAAUGUCGACAACACACACUGCACGUUCACAGUGUCGUGUGCAGGGAUGAAGUCUUGUCAGAAACAUUCACUGGCGAAUGAUUGCACACAGCAUGGUUCAGGUCCGCGGUGACAGGGUGCACAAGGCGGCUGAUUCUCAAAAGCGAGAGAUGCAGAGUGAGAGAAGCUUGGAGGAGUGAAGUGAGAUAAGGCGGCGGAGGAGGACAGGUGUCAACGUGUGGUUGCUGCAGAAAGUACAUGUGGAAGGAGCAUGAGGAACCUGAGGAAAUGAGGGUCUGACUUACUGCUGCUGCUGCUGCAUCGCCCUGGUGCAGCUCUGUGCUUAUUCUGGAAUACACGUGACUCUCUCUCUCUCUCUCUCUCUCUCCCUCGCGCUCUCUCUGUCUGUCUCUCAUUGUCUCUCUCACGCCUCUGCCCCCAGCAACGUUUUUCUCUCACACUCACACAGACAUACCUCCCGUCACUCUACGCUCAGUACAUACUGUAUUUAUACUCCUUCCGCUAAUUCCUCGAGUCAAUCACCUCAGCCUUUUCGCCCGCCCAUCUGUCCCUUAUGUCAUCAGUUCUUUACCCGAAAAAGUCACAGCUAUGAACAAGUGCUGGAAGAUCCAGACAGCAAUUUUAAACUGCCACUGACAUCACAGCGAACAUGAUAAUGAGGGUCAGUAGGUUCACAGUGUCACAGAUGGCUGAGCCUAGGAGCUGGUAUGUCUUAGGAAAGAGAGGCGGGGGGAUGUCCUUUCACCAGAUGUAUGUUAUAGUGGAGGGGUCAACGUAACUGAUGUAAGAAGAGUAAUGAGAUUCAACAGCUGAGAGAGGGAAGCAGGAAGCAGGAAGCAGAGCCACACAUUACCAGCUGGACCCAAAAUGACAAAUGACGCUUGUGUCUCUCAACAGUUUUUUCUCUUGCACCUGAUAAGGAAACACUCGAGAAGUGAAGUGAAUGCACACUUACUGGUGACCUUUCAUUUGUCCUUGUCCUCAGGAGCUGCCUGUGUGAGGCAGUCAGGG